rnacentral:rRNA from 1 species
CAUUACCUCAAAUCAGGAUGAACC